GCCGAGAUGGUGGAAUUGGUAGACACAAGGGACUUAAAAUCCCUCGGUACUUUGUACUGUGCGAGUUCAAGUCUCGCUCUCGGCA
rnacentral:tRNA from 1 species